GAUGAACGCUGGCGGCGUGCCUAAUACAUGCAAGUCGAGCGAACGGACGAGAAGCUUGCUUCUCUGAUGUUAGCGGCGGACGGGUGAGUAACACGUGGAUAACCUACCUAUAAGACUGGGAUAACUUCGGGAAACCGGAGCUAAUACCGGAUGAUAUUUUGAACCGCAUGGUUCAAAAGUGAAAGACGGUCUUGCUGUCACUUAUAGAUGGAUCCGCGCUGCAUUAGCUAGUUGGUAAGGUAAUGGCUUACCAAGGCAACGAUGCAUAGCCGACCUGAGAGGGGGGUGGCCCACCCUGGAACUGAGACACGUUCCAAACCCCAAGGGGGGGCAGAAGGAGGGAAUUUUCCGCAAGGGGGGAAAGCCGAACGGAGCAACGCCGCGUGGGUAAUGAAGGUUUUCGGAUCGUAAAACUCUUUUUUUGGGAAAAAAAAUAUGUGAAGGUAACUUUGCCCCUCUGACCGGGACUAAACCAGAAAGCCACGGCAAACUACGU
rnacentral:rRNA from 1 species